rnacentral:rRNA from 1 species
CACGUAGGGGGCAAGCGUUGUCCGGAUUUAUUGGGCGUAAAGAGCUCGUAGGCGGCUCAGUUAGUCGGGUGUGAAACCCCCGGGCUCAACCCGGGGACGCCACCCGAUACUGCUGUGGCUAGAGUCCGGUAGGGGAGCGUGGAAUUCCUGGUGUAGCGGUGAAAUGCGCAGAUAUCAGGAGGAACACCAGCGGCGAAGGCGGCGCUCUGGGCCGGAACUGACGCUGAGGCGCGAAAGCUAGGGGAGCAAACAGG